rnacentral:rRNA from 1 species
AUUGAACGCUGGCGGAAUGCUUUACACAUGCUAGUCGAACGGCAGCACGGACUUCGGUCUGGUGGCGAGUGGCGAACGGGUGAGUAACAUAUCGGAACGUAUCCAAUAAUGGGGGAUAAAUAAUCGAACGGUUGGCUAAUACCGCAUCCGCCCUACGGGGGAAAGCUAGGGACUUUCGGGCCGGGCGCUAAUGGAGCGGUCGAUAUCUGAUUAGCUAGUUGGUGGGGUAAAGGCCCACCAAGGCGACGAUCAGUAGCUGGUCUGAGGGGACGACCAGCCACACUGGAACUGAGACACGGUACAGACUCCUACGGGAGGCAGCAGUGGGGAAUUUUGGACAAUGGGCGCAAGCCUGAUCCAGCCAUUCCGCGUGAGUGAAGAAGGCCUUCGGGUUGUAAAGCUCUUUCGCAAGGGAAGAAGACUUAGCCUCUAACAUAGGCUGAGGUUGACGGUACCUUGAUAAGAAGCACCGACUAACUACGUACCAGCCGCCGCCGUAA